rnacentral:rRNA from 1 species
CCUACGGGCGGCUGCAGUGGGGAAUUUUCCGCAAUGGGCGAAAGCCUGACGGAGCAAUACCGCGUGAGGGAAGACGGCCUAUGGGUUGUAAACCUCUUUUUUCAGGGAGGAACAAAAUGACGUGUACCUGAAGAAUAAGCAUCGGCUAACUCCGUGCCAGCAGCCGCGGUAAGACGGAGGAUGCAAGUGUUAUCCGGAAUCACUGGGCGUAAAGCGUCUGUAGGUGGUUUGUUAAGUCAACUGUUAAAUCUUGAGGCUCAACUUCAAAUCAGCAGUCGAAACUAUCAGACUAGAGUAUAGUAGGGGUAAAGGGAAUUUCCAGUGGAGCGGUGAAAUGCGUAGAUAUUGGAAAGAACACCGAUGGCGAAGGCACUUUACUGGGCUAUUACUAACACUCAGAGACGAAAGCUAGGGUAGCAAAUGGGAUUAGAUACCCAAGUAGUC